AAUCAACGCUGGCGGCGUGCCUAACACAUGCAAGUCGCACGAGAAAGCAGUAGCAAUACUGUGAGUACAGUGGCGUACGGGUGAGUAACACGUGACUAACCUACCCUUGAGUGGGGAAUAACUGGGGGAAACUCUAGCUAAUACCGCAUAACACCUACGGGUCAAAGAAGCAAUUCGCUUAAGGAGGGGGUCGCGGCCGAUUAGUUAGUUGGCGGGGUAAUGGCCCACCAAGACUAUGGUCGGUAUCCGGCCUGAGAGGGCGCACGGACGCACUGGAACUGAAACACGGUCCAGACUCCUACGGGAGGCAGCAGUGGGGAAUUUUGCGCAAUGGGGGAAACCCUGACGCAGCAACGCCGCGUGGAGGAUGAAGUCCUUCGGGACGUAAACUCUUUUCGAUCGGGACGAUUAUGACGGUACCGGAAGAAGAAGCCCCGGCUAACUUCGUGCCAGCAGCCGCGGUAAGACGUAGGUGGCGAGCGUUAUCCGGAUUUACUGGGCGUAAAGAGUGCGCAGGCGGCCUUUCAAGUCAGAUGUAAAAUCUCCCGGCUCCACUGGGAGGGACCAUCUGAUACUGUUUGGCUAGAGUACAGCAGAAGGAAGUGGAAUUCCCGGUGUAGUGGUGGGAUGCGUAAAUAUCGGGGAGGACACCAGUGGCCGAAGCGGCUUUCUGGGCUGUUACUGACGCUGGUGCACGAAAGCGUGGGGAGCAAACAGGAUAGAUACCCUGGUAGUCCACGCUGUAAACUAUGGACACUGGGUAAGGGAGGAUCGACCCUCUCUGUGCCGAACUAAGCGUUAUGGUCCCGUCUGGGACUACGCCGCAGGUUAAACUCAAAGG
rnacentral:rRNA from 1 species